GCCAGUGUUUAUGUUCUACAAUAUCUGGUCAACCUGUGAAGUCAUCAAGUCCCCACAAAGCAAUGGGACCUCGGGUGUGGAGCAGAUCUGUGUGGAUGUCCGGCAAUACGGUACCUCCUUUCAAUCCUGUCCCUAUUACUUUUUUUAUUGUCUUCUGCCUGGGUUUGAGUUGAGAUUAACAUAUAGACCUCUCUUUAGUCAUCACAUUUAGUCAACACAUUUCCUACCUUCUUCAAGAACAGUUCAUGCUCUUUAUUUUCUGGAGGUAAGCAUCUCUGGGCCUUUAAAAGGUACUUGCUAGACCAUGUUAUUUGGGAUUUGUAAAAAUGUUUAUCAAGUUAGGCAUAUUGUUAAAAAAAUAAGUCUUUUAUAAUGCAAAACUACUUUAUAAUG
rnacentral:lncRNA from 1 species